rnacentral:rRNA from 1 species
GAUGAACGCUAGCGGCAGGCCUAACACAUGCAAGUCGAGGGGUAACAGGGAAAAGCUUGCUUUUCCGCUGACGACCGGCGCACGGGUGAGUAACGCGUAUGCAACCAACCUUUUACAGGAGUAUAGCCCAGAGAAAUUUGGAUUAAUCCUCUAUAAUAUCUUAUUCAUGCAUAUGAAAAAGAUUAAAGCUUCGGUGGUAAAAGAUGGGCAUGCGUUUUAUUAGCUAGUAGGUGAGGUAACGGCUCACCUAGGCCACGAUAAAUAGGGGCCCUGAGAGGGGGACCCCCCACACUGGUACUGAGACACGGACCAGACUCCUACGGGAGGCAGCAGUGAGGAAUAUUGGACAAUGGACGAAAGUCUGAUCCAGCCAUGCCGCGUGCAGGAUGACGGCCCUAUGGGUUGUAAACUGCUUUUAUACAGGAAGAAACACUCCCACGUGUGGGGGCUUGACGGUACUGUACGAGUAAGGAUCGGCUAACUCCGUGCCAGCAGCCGCGGUAAUACGGAGGAUCCAAGCGUUAUCCGGAAUUAUUGGGUUUAAAGGGUCCGCAGGCGGUCUAUUAAGUCAGAGGUGAAAUCUUGCAGCUCAACUGUAAAAUUGCCUUUGAUACUGGUAGACUUGAGUCAUUGUGAAGUGGUUAGAAUGUGUGGUGUAGCGGUGAAAUGCAUAGAUAUCACACAGAAUACCAAUUGGGAAGGCAGAUCACUAACAAUGUACUGACGCUCAUGGACGAAAGCGUGGGGAGCGAACAGGAUUAGAUACCCUGGUAGUCCAUGCAGUAAACUAUGAUUACUCGCUAUUGGCGAUACACUGUCAGUGGCUAAGCGAAAGUGAUAAGUAAUCCACCUGGGGAGUACGAUCGCAAGGUUG